rnacentral:tRNA from 1 species
CCAUCGAUGAUUCAGUGGUAGAAUGCUCGCCUGCCACGCGGGCGGCCCGGGUUUGUUCCCGGCCGAUGCA